AAAUUGAAGAGUUUGAUCAUGGCUCAGAUUGAACGCUGGCGGCAGGCCUAACACAUGCAAGUCGAACGGUAACAGGAAGCAGCUUGCUGCUUCGCUGACGAGUGGCGGACGGGUGAGUAAUGUCUGGGAAACUGCCUGAUGGAGGGGGAUAACUACUGGAAACGGUAGCUAAUACCGCAUAACGUCGCAAGACCAAAGAGGGGGACCUUCGGGCCUCUUGCCAUCGGAUGUGCCCAGAUGGGAUUAGCUUGUUGGUGGGGUAACGGCUCACCAAGGCGACGAUCCCUAGCUGGUCUGAGAGGAUGACCAGCCACACUGGAACUGAGACACGGUCCAGACUCCUACGGGAG
rnacentral:rRNA from 1 species